rnacentral:rRNA from 1 species
CGCGCAGGCGGGUUAGUAAGUCAGAGGUGAAAUCCUACAGCUUAACUGUAGAACUGCCUUUGAUACUGCUGAUCUUGAGUACGGAAGAGAGAGACGGAAUUCCAGGUGUAGUGGUGAAAUACGUAGAUAUCUGGAAGAACACCAGUUGCGAAGGCGGUCUCUUGGUCCAAUACUGACGCUGAGGCGCGAAAGCGUGGGUAGCAAACA